AUACAGAGGGUGCGAGCGUUAAUCGGAAUUACUGGGCGUAAAGCGCGCGUAGGCGGUUCGGCAAGUCGGGUGUGAAAUCCCCGGGCUCAACCUGGGAAUUGCAUCCGAAACUGCCGGGCUAGAGUGUGGUAGAGGGAAGCGGAAUUCCGCAUGUAGCGGUGAAAUGCGUAGAUAUGCGGAGGAACACCAGUGGCGAAGGCGGCUUCCUGGACCAACACUGACGCUGAGGUGCGAAAGCGUGGGGAGCAAACAGGAUUUGAAACCCCAGUAGUCC
rnacentral:rRNA from 1 species